CCAAGCUGUGCUGAGGAAGUGAUUUACGAAAAGCAAUAUUUUCCAAGGCGGAACAUGGGUGUUUUCCAGAAAGGAGUUCUUCAAUAAAGAUUCAGAAUAUCCACACUCCCUUCUGUAUUGGCGACGUCGUCAAAAUUUCACAAUGCC